GUAGGUGAACCUGCGGAAGGAUCAUUACCUAGAGUUGUGGGCUUUGCCUGCUAUCUCUUACCCAUGUCUUUUGAGUACUUACGUUUCUUCGGCGGGUCCGCCCGCCGUUGACAUUUUAAACCCUUUGCAUUUGAAAUCAGCGUCUGAAAAAUUUAAUUAUUACAACUUUCAACAACGGAUCUCUUGGUUCUGGCAUCGAUGAAGAACGCAGCAUCUGACUGACUGAACUGUAUCUCAUCUCGUAUGCCGU
rnacentral:misc_RNA from 1 species